GAAUAUUGGACAAUGGGCGAAAGCCUGAUCCAGCAAUGCCGCGUGAGUGAUGAAGGCCUUAGGGUUGUAAAGCUCUUUUACCCGGGAUGAUAAUGACAGUACCGGGAGAAUAAGCCCCGGCUAACUCCGUUCCAGCAGCCGCGGUAAUACGGAGGGGGCUAGCGUUGUUCAGAAUUACUGGGCGUAAAGCGCACGUAGGCGGCUUUGUAAGUCAGAGGUGAAAGCCCGGAGCUUAACUCCGGAAUUGCCUUUGAGACUGCAUCGCUUGAAUCCGGGAGAGGUGAGUGGAAUUCCGAGUGUAGAGGUGAAAUUCGUAGAUAUUCGGAAGAACACCAGUGGCGAAGGCGGCUCACUGGACCGGUAUUGACGCUGAGGUGCGAAAGCGUGGGGAGCAAACAG
rnacentral:rRNA from 1 species